GACGAACGCUGGCGGCGUGCUUAACACAUGCAAGUCGAACGGGUCUGCCCUGUUUUUUGCGGGGUGGGUCAGUGGCGAACGGGUGAGUAACACGUGAGUAACCUGCCCCUCACUUCUGGAUAACCGCUUGAAAGGGUGGCUAAUACGGGGUGUUCUUGCUGUGCCGCAUGGUGUGGCUGGGAAAGAUUCACUUUUGGGGUGUUUUGGUGGGGGAUGGGCUCGCGGCCUAUCAGCUUGUUGGUGGGGUGAUGGCCUGCCAAGGGUUUGGCGGGUCGCCGGCCUGGGAGGGUGGGCGGUCACACUGGGACUGAGGUACGGCCCGGACUCAGGCGGGACGCAGAAGUGUGGGGUAUUGAACAAUGGGCGGAAGUCUGAUGCAGCGACGUCGCGGGAGGGAUGGAGGCCUUCGGGUUGUGAACCUCUUUCGGCGGUGAAGAAGGUCCUGCUCUUUGUGGUGGGGUUGACCGUAGCCGGGUUAUGAAGCGCCGGCUAACUACGUG
rnacentral:rRNA from 1 species